CCUACGGGAGGCAGCAGUGAGGAAUAUUGGUCAAUGGUCGGGAGACUGAACCAGCCAAGCCGCGUGAGGGAUGAAGGUACAGAGUAUCGUAAACCUCUUUUGUCAGGGAACAAAGGCGGGGACGUGUCCCCGGAUGAGUGUACCUGAAGAAAAAGCAUCGGCUAACUCCGUGCCAGCAGCCGCGGUAAUACGGAGGAUGCGAGCGUUAUCCGGAUUUGUUGGGUUAAAAGGGUGCGCAGGCGGUCUGUUAAGUCAGCGGUCAAAGCCCGGGGCUCAACCCCGGCCCGCCGUUGAAACUGGCAGUCUCGAGUUGGAGAGAAGUAUGCGGAAUGCGAGGUGUAGCGGUGAAAUGCAUAGAUAUCGCGCAGAACUCCGAUGGCGAAGGCAGCAUGCCGGCUCCACACUGACGCUGAGGCACGAAAGCGUGGGUAUCGAACAGGAUUAGAUACCCUGGUAGUC
rnacentral:rRNA from 1 species